rnacentral:rRNA from 1 species
UUUUUUAGGUUGACCUCGGAUCAGGUAGGAAUACCCGCUGAACUUAAGCAUAUCAAUAAGCGGAGGAA